UUUUAGUCUUCGAGCACAUAAUCCUAAGGCAACGCUAUGGGUUAUAUGCCGAUAGGGUAUAAAUGGAAACGUUUAUGCCUCCCGAAAUUUGGAAAGGAGACUCU
rnacentral:ncRNA from 1 species